rnacentral:rRNA from 1 species
CAAUAGCGUAUAUUUAAGUUGUUGCAGUUAAAAAGCUCGUAGUUGGAUUUCGGAUGGGAUUUGCCGGUCCGUCGUUACGAUGUGCACUGGCCAGUCCUAUCUUGUUGUCGGGGACUAGCUCCUUGGAUUCACUUCCUGGGACUAGGAGCUGACGAGGUUACUUUGAGUAAAUUAGAGUGUUCAAAGCAAGCCUACGCUCUGAAUACAUUAGCAUGGAAUAACACGAUAGGACUCUGGCUUAUCUUGUUGGUCUGUGAGACCAGAGUAAUGAUUAAGAGGGACAGUCGGGGACAUUCGUAUUUCAUUGUCAGAGGUGAAAUUCUUGGAUUUAUGAAAGACGAACUUCUGCAAAAGCAUUUGUCAAGGAUGUUUUCAUUAA